rnacentral:rRNA from 1 species
CCUACGGGAGGCAGCAGUGAGGAAUAUUGGUCAAUGGGCGUAAGCCUGAACCAGCCAAGUCGCGUGAGGGAUGAAGGUUCUAUGGAUCGUAAACCUCUUUUAUAAGGGAAUAAAGUGUGGGACGUGUCCUGUUUUGUAUGUACCUUAUGAAUAAGGAUCGGCUAACUCCGUGCCAGCAGCCGCGGUAAUACGGAGGAUCCGAGCGUUAUCCGGAUUUAUUGGGGUUAAAGGGUGCGUAGGCGGCCUUUUAAGUCAGCGGUGAAAGUCUGUGGCUCAACCAUAGAAUUGACGUUGAAACUGGGAGGCUUGAGUAUGUUUGAGGCAGGCGGAAGGCGUGGUGUAGCGGUGAAAUGCUUAGAUAUCACGCAGAACCCCGAUUGCGAAGGCAGCCUGCCAAGCCAUGACUGACGCUGAUGCACGAAAGCGUGGGGAUCAAACAGGAUUAGAUACCCCAGUAGUC